UAUCCCUGCCCAGGGCAGAGGGCUGGAACUAGAUUAUCUUUAAGAUCCCUUCCAAGCCAUUCUGUGACUCUAAGCCAUUCAUCCUGGCCUUCCAGAAACCCUGUGGACCAUGAACUGUCCUUACUACCUAAGUCUCUAUACCUAAAUUUCUCCAUAGGGGAGAGAAAUACAGACAUGGUGCUCAGUGCAGUGACAUAUAAGUAGCUCCCAACUAUCAAUUCCAGCCAGGUGCCUUAAGAACAGUCUACUGAAUUCCUUAUUCUGUGCUAUAAUGGAAUGGAUUUCCAUGCAGCAGCUUUAUCAGUUGCUGUCAGGCAGCCAGAAUGCAAGCUCCAAGGGACAGCAAUCCAAGAUGAGAAAGCAGGACUUGGAUCAGGGCUUGCAUGAACCUGUGUUUGUUCUAUAAACAUUGUACUCCAACCUAUUGAGUCUCUCCAGACUAUCCUGAUGAUUACUAUCACUGGCAUGGAUUUUCUUCAGCUCCCUUACCACUAACGGAGAGGAUGACUAAGCAACUUGAAGCACUGACACUGAGACAAUGGAGCUGUACUUCCUUCUCCCAGGCUGUACUUCCUUCUGCAAUGCAUCAUUCUGACCUGCAAGGAUUCUUGCUAUCUCCAUUUUACAGUAUUUUAGUAAAUAUAUUACAAUAUUUUAGUACUUGUAUGGGCUCAAAUUCUCUCAGAUACUGCUGUAUUAGGUUGAUCUUAAGUUUCACACGUGAGGGACUAUAGGGUAUAAGCUGCUGAUUGAUGCAGAACUUUCAGAGAGUAGUGAUGACAGUGUUUUGGCUAACUAUUUCAAGAAAGUGUAAGAAUUUGGGGGGAAAAACCCAUCCAAGAACAUAAAAACACAGAAGACAGAUACCGCAGAUGGUUAAAAGGGAAACUGUACUCUUCCUCAGUUUUCUUGGUCCUUCAGGUUCAAAAGUACAGGGGCAGGCAGCUAUGAAGUACACACCCAGCACACACUGCUGCUCUGAACACAUCAGACCUGCUGUGAAGGGGCACCCCAGCAACAGUAAUGGGCAACAGGCAGGCAAAGCAUUAUACAAGCAAACUUACUUCCUUAAAUUCUGCCUUUAGGACAGCAUGUCCUAAAGUGGUCUGCCACUGAAGUUUUCGACCACUGUGUUUUCCCAGGUAAAAGGUUUUAAAUACCUCUUGAAGUUUUAUCAUCUGUAAAGAAAAGAGAGAAAAACAUUAGCAUUAUACCAGUGCAGUGAUACCAAAUGACUUCACACAUAUAAUUCCUUUAUUUUCCUCAACCACGUUGAGGAAAAAAAAGCCACAGAAAAUAAUAGGCUCUUUUGUGGGAAAAACUUAAUCCAAAGAGGAAAAUUCUGCUCUCAAGUACAUUGGUACUAUUAUACACAUAAGAAAGCCUCAAUUCAAAAAUAACUGAAUUUUCCUUGGGUUUUUAUCUUGCUUUUGUUUUAAAUAACAGUAAAACUCCCUGUAAAGGGUUUUAAACCUCAGAAAUAGAUACUGGUUUUGUCCUGGACUUUGAAUCUGACCUAGAAAUCAUGGGACAAAAAGCAUACAUCUCACACCUUUACACUGGCUAGUACCAUGUGCUCUUAAGUUCUUCCUGUAAGUUGUGGAUGGAAUGGAACUCCAGUCCAAUUCCACUAACUUUAUGCUCUCUUACUUCCAAGUAAGGGGCUUCAACCCCUCCAUUUUCAUCGCAGAUUGCUCAGGCUGGAUCUUUCAGAAGUAGUCUGCCAUGGAGGAAAAGAUACCUCAGAAGCAAGAGCACAAGACCUUCCAUAUCUUUCAAACUGAGUGGGAACCCCAUUAUCACCUCUGGCCCCUGAAGCACUUCCCACACCUCCAGUCAAGCAAGGAACUUGGGCUGCCUUGUAUUUCCCAUUGGAGCAGCUGCAAAACACAAUAAAUUACUCCGGAGUCCAGAAGAACAUUCUCCCUCCAUUGGUCUGAUUUAUUAAGGGGGGGAGGGCAGGGGGAGCUUUUCUAUGUAUUAAAGAAUAUACUUUAAAAGCCUAACGUGAAAAAAAAUUUAACCGAAGUCUUCUUACUUGAUUUGCCAAUAGACUUGAAAAUGAAGGAGUCAUACAGAUACCCACAAACUUUCACACCUUAAACCCAAGCUUCUCCCUAUUGACAGUACAAAGAUAUCAGCAAGGUGUUUCCCUUUUAAGAGGAAGAAAUUCACUGUAACUCAAGCUACUGUUCGUGUUGCCUGCAAUAGCCACUUGCAAUUCCUUGCAAACACCUUCCAAUUUAGUGCUUCUUAUGAUAGUCUUCUUCCUUGCCCAUCCUGUCCUGGUGAAGUGAUGUUUCAUGAACCAGCUCCAUCAAGAUAUUAUCAAAAAGGCCAGUGCUCAGAAACUACCUAAUUAUCAUCUGCUUUUAAAAGAGCUCUUAUGUACUAGACAGUUCAAAAUAAAAUUUCCGCUUUUAGCUCAGUACUACAAAAAAUAUGAAGAGUUGGUGAAAGUUUCAGAUUAACAGAAAUUAAUCUCUUAGGCUGACAAGCUGCCAGUACAACUGUUUUCAUUCACCAUCUCCAUCUGACAAAAAUGAUGCAAUUAUGAUUCAAUUAUGCAAAUGAUACUACUUUAUGACUUGACUUUCCCAUUAUAUUGUACUUGUUGGGGGUUUUUUAUGAGGAGAGAACCCCACAGAUCUCAAACAAACUAAUACCAAAUUGGGUAGUUCCUGCUAUUCCAUCCCCACCCAGGACACACAUUCCACUUCCCUCAGAACAGUGACCAUGUAUCUGUAUUGGACUGGACCACUGGUUUUUAGGGUAUCUAGAAAAAAAAAAAUCUCCUAACACAUUCAAGGAUUUUGCUCAGAUAGAGACAUACAUGAGGGAAGUGCAUUUCAAAGGCAGUGAAACUCAGCAGUUAACACUUUUUGCUACUAUUCUGAGCCCUUCUCUGUGUUCCUUCUUAGCCAUGAUGAGAAAAGUCAAAAGAGAAGUUGCCGGGUUUUCAUGCUUUGUACCUACAACAUACAUAAAUGGAUAGGAAAGAGGAAGUCUGUACUGUCAUUAGAGGAAAGGUUGUGGUUAUAGACAUGGUUAAUUUAUGUAAAAAACUUCCAGCAACACCUCUAACUCUUAGGUCUCCACUCACAAGACUCUGAAAGGUCUGUAACUUGCCAAUCUCCACAGAACUAUUUGUCCUCCCCGGUAUAUUUAUUGUGCUGCUUCAGGUGUAAAGCAACCUGAAUUAAAGACCAAGUUGAGCAGAAACUGUUGCUGAAAAAGAUCUCUUACAUUCAGAGGAAAGCAGCCCUGCUAGUAGCAAGGGGAACAGUUUUAAUUGCAUCAACAGUGAACCACUAUUUCUUACCAUGAAUGAAUCUAAAUAUGAUCAUGAUUUUGUCAAGGAUUCUUUCCAGUUCUUCAUCUGUUGCUUCUUUAUUACCAGCUCUUAAUUUGGA